CCGCGUGUGGAAUAUGGAUUGAUGAGUGCUCUCACUUUGCAGGAAGGCCUCCAGGUUUUUCACAUAGUCUGCAUACUUCCCAGCGUCGGUUCUGUUGAAAGCGAUGUCCAGCGAGUUCGGAAGGAUCACCAACCCUGCAAGAGGGCAGCGUGACGUAGGAAGGAGACAUCGGACAUUCCAACCCAGCUACGAAAGCAGCCCCCAGACAGGACAUUUCACGGUGCCGGCAUCUCUCGACCUUCCUACCAAACAGGUCUGCAGUGAGCUGCAUGAUGAAGUCAUUUGAGGAAACCCCGCCGUCCACCCUGACAUGCAAACAAGCCGCUGAAAGACGGGACGAAACACACGCCGUCUGAGUCACUGACGCUGUAAGCCAUGGUGCUUGUGUCCUCCACGUCAGAGAAGAGAUCUGCAAAUUACGAGGAGGAUGGUUGCUUAAUUUUAUGUGACACACGACCCCUUCAAUACUGGCCAAUUGACUGAUCUUUAUUGUUAAUGUAGGAGCUAUUUAUUGGUGUGUUCCUAGGUUUCUGAUAUCUGUUGAUUUAUUUUUUGUUGUUGUUGUUUUGUUUGGAUUACUUGAUAAUAUUUUCUUGUUAUUUAUUUAUUUUGUUUAUCUAUCAUAUUUUGUUGGGGUUAAUUAGUAGUUAAUUUGUGGGUUUAUUUCAUUGGAUAACACCCUGGGCACCUGCAAUAUAUUUAGGUAGGCAGUGCUCACAGGACCAGCAUGCACCGGGGUGGGCCUAUGGUUUUUGUACCAGCGCAAGAGAGGCAACAGGAAAAGGCCCUUGUUCCUUUUUUGUUUGUUUGCUUGCUUGGUAAUAAAAGGAAAGAAGAAGAAACGGAACAAGAUUGUUUGGACAAUGACUCUUUUGCCUGCGUAAAACAAAACCCAUGGUGCAUCAGUGGCCUUUUGAUUAUAAGUUCCGUUUAUUAUUUUAGUGAAGGACAAAUAGCCACUACAGUUAAUAUUGUGUUCUGUGACAAUAUAAACAUGGAAACCACCAAAAGAAAGAUUAGACCCCUGAAAAAAAAAAAUUCAUGUUCUCUGCCGAGCUCUUAUCAUAUGCACCUCUGCCAUCUGGUGGCUGUUUUUAUGGCUUAAAAGUGCUCUGAAAUGUUUGUCAAUGCAUUAAUGGAGAGUUGCAUCAUCACCUCAUUUGGCUUCUUGUGCAAAAAAGGACGUCUAAAUACGUUGUUGGGAUUAUAAAAAACACUUAAAUACAUCCUGAGUUAAUAUUCAAAAUAGUUUUGAUAACUGAUAAUUACAAAAAAAAACAUAUUCCAAUGAGGGACAAAUACCCAUACUGUGGUGUCAUACCUGGGCAAAUCAAGCAUGCCUUUUCUGUGAUGUGGUCGCCUCUCCUGAGCUCACUUGUAAACAAUCAUGGUGUUGAGCGUGUGGGGCGUCUUGACUGUUUACUGUGGAAGACCUUUUGCAUGCUAUUUGCACCAAAU